CUGCAUUUGGGUUCUUCCUCCAGACAGCACAGAACACGUCUCGGAGCCGAUUAUGCGUUAUAUGUUCGAUUGGCCUUCAGCGGCUAGUCGUCUUCUCGGUCCUCUACGAAUAUAAUAUGGGGCUGCCCGUUUUCUCCUGGCUCCAGCGAGCUGUGCAACGUCUUUCCCGUGUCCCAGAGCAUCAAGCGAAGCAAGGUCAAGAUAUCGCGACUUCGACAGAUGACUUCCGCCGGACCAUGGGCGCCGGUAAAUGCACCGUGACCUGGGUAUCCGGGCAGCUGAACAUUCCCUGCCCUUGUUCCAAUGGCAUUUUCGAAGUUCCUUUUCCGACUGACAGUGUUCAAUGCCGGCUAUGCGCUCAUGCUUUGUCGAGCCAUGAAGACUUUGACUUCAUUGUUCCUCCACAAAAGGCAACGGCUCCCCAAAUAUUUCAACAAAAUAUCCAACUACAGACUGUACCGGAGAGGGAUCUAGAAAGUGAUCACGCUCAAUUAAACAACCCCGGACCCCCCGACAUAAAUUCGCUUGAAGACGAGUCUCCUAGGAUAUCUCGCGAUGUAACGGUAAGAGCCUUGUGGAAACGGGUGAAGGAGACCGGAGUCGUUCAUAUUCGUGGUACUCCAGCCAGUGGUAAAUCUAAUUUGGCUCGCCUCCUCCGCCGUCAUGUUGCGAAAAUAUCAGAAAUGCCGGUUAUCAGCCUAAGCUGGCCGAUGGACUUCCCCCAAAAUUUGCCUACAAACGCCAUGUACUACAAGCUAUUGAACGCCAUAACUGUGAGGCCUCUUGAUCUGGAUGAUUGGCUGGAAAAGCGUGUUCUCCUUAUUAUCGAUGAGGCGCAAGGCUCAUAUCCUUAUACAUCUUUCUGGAAUGACUUCAUAAAGUUCAUUUCACCCGGUCUUGGCCCUUGCGUCGCCAUG
rnacentral:sRNA from 1 species